AUUCUAAUGGCGACUGAGGUGGCGGGAAGAUGGAUACUAGCAGGAAGUAAGGAUAACGUUAUACUUCAGGGGAACAAAAAAAGCCAUCUUUCAGAGUACAUGUAUCAAGUUUGCAGCAGCCACAACUGACCUGCUGCCCCUGCUUUCGGCAGCUCUUCUGCCAUGGCCCGCUUUUUGUGUUGUGAAUGGCAGUGCCCAAGGGCUAGCUCUGUGCCAUGCAUAAGAGAGGUGAUGAUGACAUUUUCAAAGAAGAAUAUGUGUGAAGGAGGAGGAAGGGGAAGAGAGAGAAGGUGAUGGAAGCCAUGCUGCAGGAGUGGAGAAAAAUGGUCUUCCCAUGAA